rnacentral:rRNA from 1 species
AUCGAACGCUGGCGGAAUGCUUUACACAUGCAAGUCGAACGGCAGCACGGACUUCGGUCUGGUGGCGAGUGGCGAACGGGUGAGUAAUACAUCGGAACGUGCCCAGUCGUGGGGGAUAACGUAGCGAAAGCUACGCUAAUACCGCAUACGAUCUAAGGAUGAAAGCGGGGGACCGUAAGGCCUCGCGCGAUUGGAGCGGCCGAUGGCAGAUUAGGUAGUUGGUGGGGUAAAGGCUCACCAAGUCGACGAUCUGUAGCUGGUCUGAGAGGACGACCAGCCACACUGGGACUGAGACACGGCCCAGACUCCUACGGGAGGCAGCAGUGGGGAAUUUUGGACAAUGGGCGCAAGCCUGAUCCAGCCAUUCCGCGUGCAGGAUGAAGGCCCUCGGGUUGUAAACUGCUUUUGUACGGAACGAAAAGGCUCUGGUUAAUACCUGGGGCUCAUGACGGUACCGUAAGAAUAGGCACCGGCUAACUACGUGCCAGCCGCCGCGGUAA